AGUGAACGCUGGCGGUAGGCCUAACACAUGCAAGUCGAACGGCAGCACAGUAAGAGCUUGCUCUUACGGGUGGCGAGUGGCGGACGGGUGAGGCAUAGAUCGGAAUCUACUUUUUCGUGGGGGAUAACGUAGGGAAACUUACGCUAAUACCGCAUACGACCUACGGGUGAAAGCAGGGGAUCUUCGGACCUUGCCCGAUUGAAUGAGCCGAUGUCGGAUUAGCUAGUUGGCGGGGUAAAGGCCCACCAAGGCGACGAUCCGUAGCUGGUCUGAGAGGAUGAUCAGCCACACUGGAACUGAGACACGGUCCAGACUCCUACGGGAGGCAGCAGUGGGGAAUAUUGGACAAUGGGCGCAAGCCUGAUCCAGCCAUACCGCGUGGGUGAAGAAGGCCUUCGGGUUGUAAAGCCCUUUUGUUGGGAAAGAAAAGCAGCAUGUUAAUACCCCGCUGUUCUGACGGUACCCAAAGAAUAAGCACCGGCUAACUUCGUG
rnacentral:rRNA from 1 species